rnacentral:rRNA from 1 species
GUAGUCCACGCCCUAAACGAUGCGAACUGGACGUUGGGCUCAAUUGAGAGCUCAGUGUCGAAGCUAACGCGUUAAGUUCGCCGCCUGGGGAGUACGGUCGCAAGACUGAAACUCAAAGGAAUUGACGGGGGCCCGCACAAGCGGUGGAGUAUGUGGUUUAAUUCGAUGCAACGCGAAGAACCUUACCUGGUCUUGACAUCCACGGAACCCUUGAGAGAUCGAGGGGUGCCUUCGGGAACCGUGAGACAGGUGCUGCAUGGCUGUCGUCAGCUCGUGUCGUGAGAUGUUGGGUUAAGUCCCGCAACGAGCGCAACCCUUGUCCUUAGUUGCCAGCGAGUAAUGUCGGGAACUCUAAGGAGACUGCCGGUGACAAACCGGA